rnacentral:rRNA from 1 species
AGCGUGUCUGCCUCCGUGGUGUGGGGAUAUAUCNAAGUUAGUAUACGAUUAAAGUCCGUUUGGUAUCAGCGGUAUUAAGUUUUAUUGCCAGAGAUGAGCCUGGGUCUGAUUAGCUUGUUGGUGGGGUAAUGGGCUACAAGUACGAUCAGUAGCUGGUCUGAGAGACGGCAGCACAAUGGCACUGAAAUACGGGCCAUACUCCUACGGGAGGCAGCCAGUGGGGAAUUUUUGCGCAAUGGGCGAAAGCCUGACGCAGCAACGCCGCGUGAAGGAUGAGGUCCUUCGGGAUGUAAACUUCGCAAGCAUGGGAAGAAAAAAAUGACGGUACCAUGCGUAAGCCCCGGCUAACUCCGUGCCAGCAGCCGCGGUAAUACGGGGGGGGCAAGCGUUGUUCGGAAUUACUGGGCGUAAAGCGCGUGUAGGCGUUUUCAAGUCAGACGUGAAAGCCCUGGGCUUUAACCCAGGAAUUGCGUUUGAUACUGUGGAAGCUUAGAAGUGUGGGAAGGGGGCUUACUGGGAAUUUCCGUUGUUGUUACGGGUGAAAAUGCGUAAAUUUUACGGAGGAAACACCCUUGCGGCGAAAGGCGGGUUAAGCUUGGG